rnacentral:rRNA from 1 species
CCUACGGGCGGCAGCAGUGAGGAAUAUUGGUCAAUGGACGAGAGUCUGAACCAGCCAAGUAGCGUGAAGGAUGACUGCCCUAUGGGUUGUAAACUUCUUUUAUAUGGGAAUAAAAUGUUCCACGUGUGGGAUUUUGUAUGUACCAUAUGAAUAAGGAUCGGCUAACUCCGUGCCAGCAGCCGCGGUAAUACGGAGGAUCCGAGCGUUAUCCGGAUUUAUUGGGUUUAAAGGGAGCGUAGGUGGAUUGUUAAGUCAGUUGCGAAAGUUUGCGGCUCAACCGUAAAAUUGCAGUUGAAACUGGCAGUCUUGAGUACAGUAGAGGUGGGCGGAAUUCGUGGUGUAGCGGUGAAAUGCUUAGAUAUCACGAAGAACUCCGAUUGCGAAGGCAGCUCACUGGACUGCAACUGACACUGAGGCUCGAAAGUGUGGGUAUCAAACAGGAUUAGAUACCCUUGUAGUC